rnacentral:snRNA from 1 species
AUACUUACCUGGCAAGGGAUACACCCGUGAUCACCAAGGGCGGUUCACCCAGGGUGAGGCUCGGCCAUUGCACUCCGGCUGUGCUGACCCUGCGAAUUCCCAAAUGUGGAAAUCUCGAUUGCAUAAUUUCUGGUAGUGGGGGACUAGCGUUCGCGCUCUCCCUGA